GCGACGAAAGCAGGAGGGGGCGUUGUGAGCACAACUUCGUGGUGGCGGGGGUAGCCUGCGAAGGUGUCAUGGCUGCUGCCGUUGAGCUUAGUCGCUCGAGCAAUGGUGACAGGAGUCUGGAGCGGAGCUGCAGCCCUAAUCUCUCCCAAGAGGUGCUCUGCGAAUUCUUUCGCUCUCUGCAUAGCCUGGUGGGACAACUUAACCUCAGAGAUGAUGUGGUGAAAAUUACAAUCGAUUGGAACAAGCUCCAGAGCCUCUCGGCAUUCCAGCCCGCUUUGCUCUUUAGUGCACUUGAGCAUCAUGUUUUAUAUUUACAGAUGGAAUUGUGUUCUUCUCAGCCUUUUUUAGCAAAACUUCAGCCUCUGAUUAAAGAGGAGAAUACAACUGUUGUUGGAGAGAUAGAAAAAACAGAAACGGGGAACAAGAAUGAAGUAAAUGCCAAAUUUCCCAUUAGUGACCUACAAGAGGAAGAAAAGCACAAAGAUUGUGAUUUAGGAGAUGUGAAAAAGACACAGAUCCAUUUUGAUCCAGAAGUAGUUCAAAUAAAGGCUGGAAAAGCAGAAAUUGACAGACGAAUAUCUGCAUUUAUUGAAAGAAAGCAAGCUGAAAUCAAUGAAAACAACGUCAGGGAAUUUUGCAAUGUUAUUGAUUGUAAUCAAGAAAACAGUUGUGCAAGAACUGAUGCCGUUUUUACUCCUUACCCGGGAUUUAAAAGUCAUGUAAAAGUUUCUAGAGUUGUGAAUACAUAUGGACCACAGACUAGACCUGAAGGAAUUCAAGGGUCAGGUCAUAAACCUAACAGCUUGCUCCGAGAUUGUGGUAAUCAGGCUGUCGAAGAACGACUACAAAAUAUUGAGGCUCACUUGAGAUUGCAGACAGCUACUACUCCAGUUGAAGUCACUGUGUUCACUGCCUUGGACUGAUGGAAGGAUAUCAGCUGGUUGCUUUGCCCCUAGAUUUCUUCCUCGAGACCAAUUCUGUACCAGUGGCCAAACUGCUUUUCCUGAAGUUCUGAUCUUACUGAUCUUGCUACUCCCCAGCUAAAAAUUCUUUCAUGGUUUCCUGUUACCCUUAUGUGCAUACCAAACUUAGUAUUUAUUCAUUUAUUCCACAAAUAGGUAUUAAGUUCCUACUAUAAGCCAGGUGCUAUUCUAGGCACUGAGAAUGCAUGUGAACAAAAAUUCUAGUAUAUAAAUUAUAUGCUACACAAGAAGAACUACAGAUAAAAAGCAGCUUGACCAAGAGAAGAGAAAGGAGCUUGGGAUGGGAGGGGAUUUUAAUUUUAAGUAGCAUGAUCUACAUCUAUAGUUCCAGCCCCAUCUCUGGGCUUCCCAACUCCCACUCAUUUUGCUGUCCUAGGGCCUUCACCAAGGCUUUCUCUCCUGCCCACACUUUCCCCUCCUGAUCCCAGACUGGUAUGGUAUGGACUCCCCUUUCAUGUAGUCUCAGUAGUACCUGGUACUCCCUGCCCUCCUUUAUAGCAGUUAUCACAGUUGUGUUUGUUUAAUGUCUGUUCCCCUUGAUAGGUAGUAACGUCUGCGAGAGCAAACUCAUGUUCAUUAACUUUGUGCUUAGUGCAGUGUCUGGCACAAAACAGGUAUUCAGGAGUUUUUAAAUGAGCUCAUUUCACCUUUUCAGAUCAUAUGCAAAGUACAGUGGGUACACAAAGUUAGUGUUCAGCUCUUUCAGGGGAAGUCAAGAGAUGGUAUCCCUGGUGAAGUGACAUUUGCAUCCUUGAAAGAUUAGUAGGAAUUUGUCAGCAGGCAGGAGCAAAUUAUUCCAAAAAGAGGGAAUACCAUCUGCAAAAAGCACUAAGGCACACAAAUCUGGUUGGGGAAUUUCUGAGUCCAGUCUAGCUGGAGUAUUUGCUGAGUGGAAGUAAAAGAAGAUGAGACUGAGUAAAACUUCAAGGGUAAUAAGAGAUUAGCAUUAAAAAUUAAUCCUCUCCCCCAUAACUAAAUGGAUUAAAAAAAAAAAAACACUGAAAAAAGGAUGGAUUGGCUUAUUAAGUCUAAUAGUAUCAGGGUGCCUGGGUGACUCAGUCAGUUAAGCGUCCGACUCUUGAUUUUUGGCUUAGGUCAUGAUCUCAGGGUUGUGAGAUUGAGCCCCGUCAGGUUCUGCACACCGGGCAUGGAACCUGCUUGGGAUCCCCCUUCCCCAGCCACAUCUCUCUUUCUGCCUCUCCCCUCCCCUGGCUUGCAUGGGCUCUCUCUCUCUGUAUAUAAAAAAGUCUAAUAAUAUCAGGUGGUUAAUUAUGAAAAAUAUCUUUUGAAUGCCUACUAUAUGCCAAGUGCUAUUUUAGACACAAGGGAUACUAAAAUGAUACAGUUGCGGUCCCUAGCUUCAAGACCUUUAUAAUCUGGAAGAAAGAAUAAUAUUGAAGUGGAAUGUUAUGCUAUGAAGGAAGCGUAUGGUGGGGCACAAGGAGCCUCCAUGUGAAGAGAUUUCAGGCAGUGCUUCACUGAAUCAGUGAAGCUUGAACUGGCUCUUGAAAGAUACAGAGGUGAGCCAUAGGGCAUUCUAGGUAAAGAGGGCAGCAAGAUGAAUAAGUUACUCAUUUUACCUUACUCAAGAGCAAAAAUGACCCAGACUCUAAGGUAAACAUUCUCAAAAAAGAAACCUACUUCUAGAUUUUUCGUAUUUAACAAGUUGAUACUUUUGAUAUGAAAAUUUGCCCAUAUGCUUUAAUUGAAUAAUGAUUAUCUAAUUAUGUAUUCAUUCAGUUAGUAAAUAUCGAGCACCUGUGUAGUUUGUGAACUGAUGGUUCCUAGGUUUGUGCAGUGCACAAGCUGCACAGCCAUAUGCAAUGAGCAAAACAAAAUUAUGCCCUCCUGGAGCUUACAUUAAAGUGGAGAAAUGGGCAAUAAAUAAACAAAAUAUAGGACUAUCCAGUAGUAGUAAUGGUUUGGAAAAAAAUUAGAGAAAGGAUAGGGAUUGCGGGGGAGGGGGGUGGUUGUAACACUGGUAUUUUUUAAAGGGUGGUCAGAAAAGGCCUUGCUGAUAAGGUAACUUUUGAGCCCAGACCUAAAGGUGGUGAGACCAAGCCUUGUGAAUAUGGAGGCAGAGGAACCACAGGUGAGAGUACGUGGCCUACUUGAAUAACAGAAAAAAGGAAUCAAGUGGCUAGAAUGAUAAGGGUGUGGAGAGAAUGUCCAAAUUGUGUAGGACCUUGGAUACUACUGUAAAAGCUCUGGUUUUUAACCUGAGUGAGAUGCAAAGGUACUAGAAGGUUUUGAGCAGAGAAAUGACACUAUCUGACUUUUACAUUUUAAAAGGGUCACUGCUGUGUUGAGAAUAGACUAUGGGAGCAAGGCAGAAACAAGGAGACCAAUUUGAAGGUUGUAGUAUCCAUACAGAGUUGGUGGGGGUCUAGACAGAAUGGUCACAUUGCGGUGCAAGAAAUAAGGGAUUUGGAAUAUAAUCAUAACCUUGAAAUUUGAAUAACCUUAAUUUACCUUCCCCCUCCACAGAAAGUUUGUUAAUUAAGAAUUAUGAUAAAGCUCCUCUUUACUAUUCUUUUAGGUUAAAGGAGGAAAUGUGGCAUGUAAGGAGAAAUAUAAAUUGAAGAAAGUGAUAAAGACAUGCUGCAGUCACUGAAUUGAACUGUUAGGUGUCCCUGUGCAUUUUUCUCCUCCCAAGGAACUAUCAUAUUCUAUCAGAAGUACAAAUUGUUCUGUACAGGAACUCUUCAGUAGCUUGUAAUGAAUUUAACAUAAAAUAAAACUCCUGGCAAAACAGGAAGCAUAAAUGGGGCUUGAGGAGCGGUACAAUAGAAUAAUAUACCCCAUAAUGUAUAAUAUUGAAAAUGUGAGCUAAGGAUUUCAUUUUAUUUUACUCUUGUUCAUUAUCUUCUCAAGCUUAAAUAUUUCCCAUUCCUCUGCGUAUCUUCUUUGCAUGUUUUUGUUUGUUUGUUUUUGUUUUUUUGAGAGAGAGCAGUGGGAGGGGCAGAAGGAGAGAGAGAAUCCUGAAGCGGACUCCUGGCUGAGCAGGGAGCCUGACACGGGGCUCGAUCCGAGGAUCCUGAGAUCAUGACCUGAGCCAAAAUCAAGAGUCAUCUGCUUAACAGACUGAGCCAUGCAGGUGGUCCAGUGCCAAGAGACAUUUACCAAAGAAUUAAAAAACUUGAGGAUAAAAUCCUUGAACUGGAAGGAAUCUCUCCUGAAUAUUUUCAAUCUAUA